GGAGAGAUGGCCGAGCGGCUUAAGGCGCACGCUUGGAAAGCGUGUGUGCGUGAAAGCGUACCCAGGGUUCGAAUCCCUGUCUCUCCGCCA
rnacentral:tRNA from 6 species